CCUGCCCUAGAAGCGUUACAGGUGUGGUUGCUGUGUAUCAGCAGGUAUCAGAGAGGAGAGAGGCUAUGUUUAUGCUCAGAGUUCUGACCUCGGAACAACUGAAUGGUUAGUAGCCUAUCACU
rnacentral:snoRNA from 1 species